CAUCUGAUGCAGCCGGGUGGAUCCCAUCUGCUGCUUUAGCCAAGAAGGACCAACAAGAAAACCCAGCUCUGCCCUACGGAGUGCUAUGGAUUUAAACAAGCACUUCUCUUCCCGUCAACAGUGUUCUGUCAUGCAACAGCUUCAACAAUGAUUUAAGAACAUCAGUGGAUGAGAGUAAAGACAAGGACUUGAGCAACAUUCUUGCAUAGAACUUGACCGGGAAAGAACUCGAAAGCCACAUACCACACAUUUCAACCUAUCAGCAUGAUUUCAACCAACAGAAAAGCCCCAUACGUGGGCAGUUUUUCCUUCAAAACUACAAUUCAUGGGAGGAAGCGGAGAAGUUUCAACAAACACCACCUACUACAUAUCAACAACAUUUCUUCAACCCUCUUAAGAACUACCAUCUGAGCAACAGUGAGGAGUCAGGAGAUGACAUGAAGCUGCCCACUGAAGGCCCUUCAAACAUCACAGGAAUUUUUGAAACUCCUUUAAAAAAGGCAAGAAAGAAGUCCAUCGCAAUGCAACUUACCAUAGACAACUGCUUAACUUGGCCAGCAUCACUAAAAUAAGCCAAUCUCAAUGCCGCAAUUUUGGCAAAAACCUGGUGUG